GCAUCUGUGGCCGAGUGGCUGAAGGCAGCGGACUCAUAAUCCGUAGACAUUUAUUGUCCUCGCUGGUUCGAAUCCAGCCAGAUGCA
rnacentral:tRNA from 1 species